AUCCAACUGACAAGUUUCAAAUAGGACGAAAUGCGCAUUCUGGAU
rnacentral:hammerhead_ribozyme from 1 species